AUUGAACGCUGGCGGCAGGCCUAACACAUGCAAGUCGAGCGGUUGACGGGAGCUUGCUCCCUGAUUCAGCGGCGGACGGGUGAGUAAUGCCUAGGAAUCUGCCUAUUAGUGGGGGACAACGUUUCGAAAGGAACGCUAAUACCGCAUACGUCCUACGGGAGAAAGCAGGGGACCUUCGGGCCUUGCGCUAAUAGAUGAGCCUAGGUCGGAUUAGCUAGUUGGUGAGGUAAUGGCUCACCAAGGCGACGAUCCGUAACUGGUCUGAGAGGAUGAUCAGUCACACCGGAACUGAGACACGGUCCAGACUCCUACGGGAGGCAGCAGUGGGGAAUAUUGGACAAUGGGCGAAAGCCUGAUCCAGCCAUGCCGCGUGUGUGAAGAAGGCCUUCGGAUUGUAAAGCACUUUAAGUUGGGAGGAAGGGUUGUAGAUUAAUACUCUGCAAUUUUGACGUUACCGACAGAAUAAGCACCGGCUAACUCUGUGCCAGCCGCCGCAGUAAGAC
rnacentral:rRNA from 1 species